rnacentral:snRNA from 1 species
CUGCUGGCUUCAGCACAGAUAUACUAUAAUUGGAAAGAUACAGAGAAGAUCAGCGUCGCCCCUGGGAAAGGACGACAUGCAGACUUAGGUAGCAUUCCAAAUUUUU